rnacentral:rRNA from 1 species
CCUACUGGAGGCAGCAGUGGGGAAUUUUAGGCAAUGGGGGCAAGCGUGAUCCAGCCAUACCGCGUGGGGAAGAAGGCUUGUGGUUGUAAAGCCAUUUUGUCGGAAGGAAAAACAGUUGUUUAAUACUCGGUAUAUGACGUAUUAAAAUUGUGUUGGGGGA